ACCUAGCUGACGAGUCCCAAAUAGGACGAAACGCGCGUCCUCGAU
rnacentral:hammerhead_ribozyme from 1 species